rnacentral:rRNA from 1 species
UACGGAAGGCAGCAGUGGGGAAUAUUGCACAAUGGGCGAAAGCCUGAUGCAGCUAUGCCGCGUGUAUGAAGAAGGCCUUAGGGUUGUAAAGUACUUUCAUCGGGGAGGAAAAACAAAACUAAUAAUUUUAUUUCUUGACGUUACCCGAAAAAGAAGCACCGGCUAACUCCGUGCCAGCAGCCGCGGUAAUACGGAGGGUGCUAGCGUUAAUCAGAAUUACUGGGCGUAAAGAGCACGUAGGUGGUUUUUUUAAGUCAGAUGUGAAAUCCCUGGGCUUAACCUGGAACUGCAUUUUGAAACUGAAAUACUAGAGUAUCGUAGAGGGAGGUAGAAUUCUAGGUGUAGCGGUGAAAUGCGUAGAUAUCUGGAGGAAUACCUGUGGCGAAAGCGGCCUCCUAAACGAAUACUGACACUGAGGGUGCGAAAGCGUGGGGAGCAAACGAGGGAUUAGAUACCCGU